GGAGCUUGCUCCUCUGACGUUAGCGGCGGACGGGUGAGUAACACGUGGAUAACCUACCUAUAAGACUGGGAUAACUUCGGGAAACCGGAGCUAAUACCGGAUAACAUGUUGAACCGCAUGGUUCAACAGUGAAAGACGGUCUUGCUGUCACUUAUAGAUGGAUCCGCGCCGCAUUAGCUAGUUGGUAAGGUAACGGCUUACCAAGGCAACGAUGCGAACCCAACCUGAGAGGGUGAUCGGCCACACUGGAACUGAGACACGGUCCAGACUCCUACGGGAGGCAGCAGUAGGGAAUCUUCCGCAAUGGGCGAAAGCCUGACGGAGCAACGCCGCGUGAGUGAAGAAGGUCUUCGGAUCGUAAAACUCUGUUAUUAGGGAAGAACAAAUGUGUAAGUAACUAUGCACGUCUUGACGGUACCUAAUCAGAAAGCCACGGCUAACUACGUGCCAGCAGCCGCGGUAAUACGUAGGUGGCAAGCGUUAUCCGGAAUUAUUGGGCGUAAAGCGCGCGUAGGCGGUUUUUUAAGUCUGAUGUGAAAGCCCACGGCUCAACCGUGGAGGGUCAUUGGAAACUGGAAAACUUGAGUGCAGAAGAGGAAAGUGGAAUUCCAUGUGUAGCGGUGAAAUGCGCAGAGAUAUGGAGGAACACCAGUGGCGAAGGCGACUUUCUGGUCUGUAACUGACGCUCAUGUGCGAAAGCGUGGGGAUCAAACAGGAUUAGAUACCCUGGUAGUCCACGCCGUAAACGAUGAGUGCUAAGUGUUAGGGGGGUUUCCGCCCCUUAGUGCUGCAGCUAACGCAUUAAGCACUCCGCCUGGGGAGU
rnacentral:rRNA from 1 species